rnacentral:rRNA from 1 species
UACGUAGGGGGCAAGCGUUGUUCGGAAUUACUGGGCGUAAAGGGCGCGUAGGCGGCACGGCAAGUCAGGAGUGAAAGCCCUGGGCUCAACCCGGGAACUGCUUUUGAAACUGCCGAGCUAGAGUGCGGAAGGGGCAACUGGAAUUCCCAGCGUAGCGGUGAAAUGCGUAGAUAUUGGGAAGAACACCUGAGGCGAAGGCGGGUUGCUGGGCCGACACUGACGCUGAGGCGCGAAAGCCAGGGGAGCGAACGGG